AAAUAACCCCUUUUUUUUAUCAAAAUAAGUAAUCAUAUUGAUCAGAUUGUACGCUUACUUUUCUCUCUCCCCCUUACCUUGUUUUAUAUUUCAGUGACCGUUGGUACUUUUGGGCCGGGAAACGCCCUGCUUUCGAAGAAAUCCGGUCACGCUCAACGGAAAUUCAAUUACUCCAAAACAACACUCCCCCAAAUUGAAAGCAUCACCUCACCUACUUCACCGCCCACUCGAUUCUAAGACCAAGUAUUAUUAUAACAACUGCUAACAUUUUCUUGUUCUAGUUCCUGGCAAAUCUUUUUAUGUUAUAUAUAUAUAUAUAUAUAUAUAUAUAUAUAUUAUUAGAUUACUUUUGUGUUACUAUAAUCAUUUGUAGAUUAUUUUCUUAGUUAAAGCUGUCUCUUACAAAUGGCUACGUGAGGUCUUGUCCUUCGGAUUUAGGGGCGGGCAAGCACAUGAAGGUUAAUGCUUGAGUAAAGAGAACCUUUAAGCUUAGAUUCGGGAGCUGGAAUGUGGGUACCCUUACUUCUGCGGUUUCGGGUUGUAAUCUAGAGGUUUAAUAGCACUAAACUUAUUACCAUUUCGAACAUCACUGUUCAGGAGCUUGACUCGUCACCCUCGCGCUUUUCGACUCUUCUUACUGAAGCUCGUAACUCGGAUACCGUCAUAAUCUCAUUACCACUCUAAGGUAACUAGUAUGUUGGAUUAUCAUGGAGCAAAGUAGGAAACUCGUAUGGAUCGUUCAAGAGUCUGGCACUAGUUAAUAAAAAUAAGCUCCUAUGUAAUUUGAAAUUACCAUUAUUGUAGAAGUUACGAUUUAAAGACAUUAUUAUGUUUAAUAAAUAAAAACGACACGCUUAGUGGUCGUUCUCUUGUA